UGGGGAAUAUUGCACAAUGGGCGCAAGCCUGAUGCAGCCAUGCCGCGUGUGUGAAGAAGGCCUUCGGGUUGUAAAGCACUUUCAGCGGGGAGGAAGGCGAUAAGGUUAAUAACCUUGUCGAUUGACGUUACCCGCAGAAGAAGCACCGGCUAACUCCGUGCCAGCAGCCGCGGUAAUACGGAGGGUGCAAGCGUUAAUCGGAAUUACUGGGCGUAAAGCGCACGCAGGCGGUCUGUCAAGUCGGAUGUGAAAUCCCCGGGCUCAACCUGGGAACUGCAUUCGAAACUGGCAGGCUAGAGUCUUGUAGAGGGGGGUAGAAUUCCAGGUGUAGCGGUGAAAUGCGCAGAUAUCUGGAGGAACACCGAUGGCGAAGGCAGGUCACUGGGCCAUUACUGACGCUGAGGAGCGAAAGCAUGGGUAGCGAACAGG
rnacentral:rRNA from 1 species